rnacentral:rRNA from 1 species
GUGGGGAAUAUUGGACAAUGGGCGAAAGCCUGAUCCAGCCAUGCCGCGUGUGUGAAGAAGGUCUUCGGAUUGUAAAGCACUUUAAGUUGGGAGGAAGGGUAGUAACCUAAUACGUUGCUACUUUGACGUUACCGACAGAAUAAGCACCGGCUAACUUCGUGCCAGCAGCCGCGGUAAUACGAAGGGUGCAAGCGUUAAUCGGAAUUACUGGGCGUAAAGCGCGCGUAGGUGGUUCAGUAAGUUGGAAGUGAAAUCCCCGGGCUCAACCUGGGAACUGCUUUCAAAACUGCUGAGCUAGAGUACGGUAGAGGGUGGUGGAAUUUCCUGUGUAGCGGUGAAAUGCGUAGAUAUAGGAAGGAACACCAGUGGCGAAGGCGUCCACCUGGACUGAUACUGACACUGAGGUGCGAAAGCGUGGGGAGCAAACAGGAUUAGAAACCCCAGUAGUCC